GGGGGUGAUCGGUUUCGACGUUGAUCGCCGUCGCAGGGGAAGCGGGUCGAGGAUGCACGCUUAUCUCGUUAACGAUGCGUGCAAAACCAAUAGGUGCCAACUCCAAGCGCACCGACUUCGCCCUCGCCGCCUGAGCGAGCCUCGAAGUCCGUCAGCCUGAGGUAGUUUCCGACUCAGUGCCUGGCGUCAGCUAGGAAACUUGCUGCACCGUCUCGUCGGGGGACGGUGUGGGACUCUUACCCGACUGGGCCUGUCACAGAACGUGUGCGCGCGAGCUGCGGGGCCGAGAAAAUCCAUAGCGCACUGCACCCGGAGAAGUCCUGUCUCGCCGUUAGCGGACGCGGGUUCGAUUCCCGCCACCUCCACUU
rnacentral:tmRNA from 1 species